GGGCUUCUCUUCCCUACCUUCACUGUUAACUAGCUUUACACCUAUUUCCUUUUCUAGAAAAUGGUAAUAACAUUCCCUACCUCAUAGGAGUGGUGUGGAAAGGAGAUCAUGCCCUUAAGGAACUUGUCUCAUCAGGGAUAAUAUAAGGGAUAUGAAUAGGCUUAUAAAUGACACAAGCCUCCCGCUGCCACUUGCAGCAUUUUAUCACCUCUGCUCUCAUCCAUCCUCUUCCCCAAUCUGCUGCAUAGCACUGGUGUCUGUCAUAAAUGGAUGCCAUGCUGCUCUACUAAGACUAAACUCCCACAGGACAAAGGAGUGAAGAAAGAAAAUGGCAGCCCACCUGUCACGUUUCUAAGCUUGUCCCUUCCUGCCCACCUCUCACUAUUUGCAGCAACUGAAUCAGUUGAGCAUCUGCCUGUUUAGCCAACAACUCUUAAGGCGAUCUGAAGGGAGACUCCAGCACUAGGAUCUCUGGGAAAUGAACAAGACAUAUCAGCUCCUCUCAGCAGAUAAGUCUGGCAGUGGAGAGAAGCAAGAAACACUGUGGGGCUCAGAGCAUGGCCUUGGAAAUGAGGGCUUGGGCUGUGGCUGGGCAGUUGGGGAAAGCUCCAAAAGCUGGGGGUUCCACAGUGCUGAGAUCUGCCCCUUGGCACUCACCAUCUAGGGCCAGGCUGCCCGCCCUCCUCAGCUCUGGGCAUUGACUGUUCACUAGAGGCCUGGUACCUGCCUUCUCUCUGGGCCUCUGCACUCACACGGGGCUAAUGCAGGAGCAUUACGUUAAUUAGUUAUUCAUUUAAUUUAACUUCACAUUUGGUCUCAAUUAAGCUUAAAAUGUUCUUCCUCGUAGAUGCUACAAUAGCACUUGUAAUUAAAAAGCAAUAAUUCUUUGCGUUUCUCCUUUAGAGAUCCAUUGGGAGGUUGGCUAGUGUGUGUGGGACUAGUGUUGGUGGAAGGGUAUUGGGGGAGGAGGAGGUAAGAAGCAAUGGAAAGAAAGGGAAAGAAGCUCUCAAUAGAGCUUAGCAUUAUGAAGCUGCCAUGAAGACUAGUAAUUGGGAGGAGAAACUCAACAUGCCAUGGGGAUCUGGGAUUGAGGUGUAGAGAGUGGCUGCAGAGAACCCUAGGAAGUGGAUAAAACAACAGACCUUGCACAUAAGGUUGUGGGAAUGAAGAGAGGGCCAAUGGAGCGUAGGAGACAUUCCUGAUAGCUGGAAGAUGGGACCAUAUAUUCCAUAGUAGGUAGAUAGAAUGUGUUCCCUCCCCACAAGAGAUGUCUGUAACCUAAUUCCCAAAACCAGUAAAUAUGUCACUUUACCUGACAGAUGUGAUAAAAAUUGUGGAGGCACUACCCCACCUUGCUAGGUGGGCCCAUGUAACCACAGGGCUCCUUAUAAAUCAGAGAGAGAAGCAGGAGUGUCAGCUGGAAGAUGUUAUCCUGCUGGCUUUGAAGACUGAGAAAGCAUCCAAUGGCCAGGGAAUGUGGGCAACUUAGAGAAGCUGGAAAAGGCAGGGGAAUGUAUUUCCCCCUAGAGUCUCCAAAGUCUUGUCUUUAGCUCCAUGAAACGCAUUUCUGACUUCUAACCUCCAAAACCAUAAUAUAAUAAAUUUGUACUAUUUUAAAUCAUUGAGUUUGUGAUAAUCUGUCACAGCUGCAGCAGGAAACUAAUAAAGAUUCUUUAUAAAAUUGAAGAUGAUCAAUUUAAAGACAGGAAGACAAAAGAAAUCCCCAGCUUUGCUGGGGUUGUGGCUCAGCGGUAGAGCGCUCGCCUAGCACAUUCAAGGCCCUGGGUUCAAUCCUCAGAACCACAUAAAAAAUAAAUAAAUAAAAUAAAGGUAUUGUGUCCAACUACAACUAAAAAAAUAAAUAUUAAAAAGAAAAGAAAUCUCCAGCUUAAAAACAAGCAGAGGGCUUGGCUAUGUAACAUUUACGCACAGUGUCCUUCAUCUACUAGCUGCUCAGUUGUUUAGUAUUUCUGAGCGAGGAGGAAGCCUCAGCAUAAUAGAGUGAGACAUUCCCAAAUGCAAGGUUGACCAGUGAAGUUGUCUCUGAGGUCCCAUGUGUCUUUUAACUGCUCUGCCCCAGACUGUUGCCCAACUCCUAAGGUUCUGGAUUUUCCACCACACUCAGCUGCUUUUCCUUGGUGUUUUUAUCAAGCAGAUUUGCAUUGCCUGACCCUGGUUCCUUUUCCUGUUCUCAUUUUAUGGAGCAACAUAGCAUAAUAGGAAGGAGUUAAAAAUUUAAACACUAAGUCAAACUGCCUGACUUCAAAUCCUGAUUCCUGGUUACUCCUGAGUGAUCUUGA
rnacentral:lncRNA from 1 species